GGGGCUGUAGCUCAUCGGUCAGAGCAGGCGGCUCAUAACCACUUGGUAGAAGGUUCAACUCCUUCCAGCCCCA
rnacentral:tRNA from 1 species